rnacentral:rRNA from 1 species
UAGGGAAUCUUCGGCAAUGGACGAAAGUCUGACCGAGCAACGCCGCGUGAGUGAAGAAGGUCUUCGGAUCGUAAAACUCUGUUGUUAGAGAAGAACAAGGACGUUAGUAACUGAACGUCCCCUGACGGUAUCUAACCAGAAAGCCACGGCUAACUACGUGCCAGCAGCCGCGGUAAUACGUAGGUGGCAAGCGUUGUCCGGAUUUAUUGGGCGUAAAGCGAGCGCAGGCGGUUUCUUAAGUCUGAUGUGAAAGCCCCCGGCUCAACCGGGGAGGGUCAUUGGAAACUGGGGGACUUGAGUGCAGAAGAGGAGAGUGGAAUUCCAUGUGUAGCGGUGAAAUGCGUAGAUAUAUGGAGGAACACCAGUGGCGAAGGCGGCUCUCUGGUCUGUAACUGACGCUGAGGCUCGAAAGCGUGGGGAGCAAACAGG